rnacentral:rRNA from 1 species
UGUGUAGGCGGGCUGUCAAGUCAGAUGUGAAAACUAUGGGCUUAACCCAUAGCCUGCAUUUGAAACUGAUGGUCUUGAGAGUGGGAGAGGUAAACGGAAUUCCGAGUGUAGCGGUGAAAUGCGUAGAUAUUCGGAGGAACACCGGUGGCGAAGGCGGUUUACUGGACCAUUACUGACGCUGAGACACGAAAGCGUGGGGAGCAAAACA